GGCUUAUUGAAUUAUAAUUUUAAGUCUAUCUGCCCAAUGAUGUUUAAAUUUAAUGGCUGCAGUAUAACUAACUGUACAAAGGUAGCAUAAUCAAUUGUUUUUUAAUUAAAAACUGGAAUGAAAGAAUUAAUGAGAUAUAUACUGUCUCAUAUAUAUAUUAUAAAAUUAAAUUUUUAGUAAAAAUGCUAAAAUUUAUUUAUGGGACGAUAAGACCCUAUAGAAUUUUAUAUUAAUAUUAUAAUUAUAAUUAAUUUUUAAUAUUAAUAUUUAAUUGGGAGGAUUGGUAAAUUUGCAUAACUUUAUUUUAAAUUAAAACUUUAAUAUAAGAAUAUUUUUGACCUUUUAUUAUAAAUUAAAAGAAUAAAUUACCUUAGGGAUAACAGCGUAAUAUCUUUUUAAAGAUCAUAUUAAUAAAGAUGAUUGCGACCUCGAUGUUGAAUUAAGAUAAAUUUUAAAUGGAGAAAUUUAAUAAUUAAGUCUGUUCGACUUUUAAUAUCUU
rnacentral:rRNA from 1 species